UUUCCUGGAGUGAUGAGACAAGACAACAAGUCAAUGUCCAGAAACAAACAAAUAUCAUACAUAAAGCCCAAUACGAAGAGCUGGAGGUUUUAUGAUUUUUAUCUUCUUUUUUAUUGUACAUUCCUGGUGGCUCGUGUUGGGUUUCAUAUCUAGCAUAGUGUUUAAAAGGUAAUUAGGCAUCCAGGCGAGUGUUGUGUCCACCUGGAUGCCUAGGAGACAAGGCGCCACGGUUUCCCAAGGCGAGCUGGGUACUCCUGGACACCUAGGAGACGCCUUUGAAACAUAGCAUACCUCAAUUUGCUUGGACUAAAAAGAUUAUUUUUAAAAAAAUAACUAGUAUGAUAAAACAAGGUCAUAUACAUUCCAAGAAGGGGCAAACCUUUCAAUAUCCAUGCUACAAGAAAAAUAAGGCUGACUAUUUCCAGAGUAAGGUGUGCUAGAGUCACACGCUGAAGUUAUUAUUAUACCAACUUCUAGUGUUUCCAUUGAAUUCAAGGAGUCAUAAUCAAGCCCAAAAAAGAAAGCUACUGCAAAAUGUCGUCAUCAUUCCUGAAUGCUGGCUCCACAUCGCUACAUCUACACAAAUUUGCACUGCAUCUACAUCAGGUGCUUUUAAUGUCCUUUUCAUAGAUGUUCCGAUUACCAAGCUACCACAGAUUUUGUUUUGAUGUUGCCAACCAUGAAUGAUGAAAUUUCUGUUUUACCGUAAAUAUUCUAGAAAUACAAAGUAGGGCAUGCAGCAGGCAGACCAAAGAAAGUAGGAUUUUGUAAACUGUCAGCAUUACAUGAGCAAAAAAUAAAAAGGGAAUUUGUGAUGUUAGAACUGGGAAGAAAAUGUGUCUCUGCUCAAACGGAGUAAAUUUAGCAUUCAAUUCAUGACCAUGCGUCAUUCUAUGUAUGGUCAUAGAAUGAUGCCCGAUAUAUAAGUUUAGUUUUUUCACAUCUUGUCAUGCUUUCAACAUAUAUUGUCAUUUGUGUGUGUUCCCUUCACAAGAACACGAAUUUUAAUAUGGCAUGAUCAUAUAACAUGGGAGCACUAUAGAUGGGAAAGAAAAAAAAAACAUAUGAGAAUAAGUCAGGCAGAAUGG